UGCAAAAGUAAUUGCAGUUUUUGUCUUUGAAAGUAAUGGCAAAAACUGCAAUUACUUU
rnacentral:miRNA from 1 species